rnacentral:rRNA from 1 species
AUGACUCAGAAACAGAAGAUUGUCGCUCAAUCAUCAUGUGAGGCAGAAUAUGUGGCUGCUGCUUCUGCUGCUUGUCAGGGAGUGUGGCUAGCAAGAUUAGUUGAAGAAUUGCUAGGCUAUGAGCAAGCCAAGGUCAAGAUCAAAGUGGAUAAUCAAUCGGCUAUUGCACUGUGUAAAAAUCCUGUGUUCCAUGAAAGAAGCAAACACAUUGAUGUGCGCUACCAUUUCGUCAGACAAUGUGUUGAGGAAGGAAAGAUUGAGGUGGAGCACGUCAGUACUCGAGAGCAACAUGCAGACAUCCUGACUAAAGCCCUCCCAAGGUUUCAGUUUCAGGUGUUGAAAGAGAAAAUAGGAGUGCUUGAGGUGAGUUCAGGACGUCAUGUUUAA